rnacentral:lncRNA from 1 species
CAACUUGACUUGACUAAGGGAUGACUACAUAGUUGAUAAAACAUUUUCCCCAGGUGUUUCUGUGAAGAUCAUUCCAGAAGAAAUCAGCAUUUGAAUUGGUGGACUGAGUAGAGAAGAUGACCGACCCUCACCAAUGAAGUUAUAGAGUCCUGUUCUCAGAAGAAAACUUGCCACAAAUCCCAAUACAUAAACAAAGGUGAAGACAGAGUUGAAGUGGAUAAAUCAGGGGCAUAGGUAAUGGAGCCCUGCCUGCUUCUUCCAUUGUUGUUUUUUCUUACAU